AGGAGGAGGGGAUCGAGGCUAUGGAGGGAGCCGGUUUGAGUCCAGGAGUGGGGGCUAUGGAGGCUCCAGAGACUACUACAGCAGCCGGAGUCAAGGUGGCGGCUAUGGCGACCGGAGCUCAGGCGGGUCCUACAGAGACAGCUACGACAGUUACGCUACACACAACGAGUAAAAAUCCUUCCUGCUCAAGAUCGUCCUUCCAAUGGCUGUAUAUUUAAAGAUUUUGGGAGCUUCGCUGAAUCGUUCAUGUGUAGUGAACACACCUCCUUGUACCCACUUUUGUAGUCUAUCCGUUUUGAUCUUGCCAAACACAGCCUGACUGCUUCUGACCCCCAGAUGGCUUCGUUCCUAGACUACUCUUCUUAAGGAAGCGUUGUCAGUUUUUAAGGGUUUUAAAAAUGUUCUGAAAAGCACUUCAGAUUUUGGGUUUUUUUUUCUUUUCACCCUGAGCCAUAAGUUUUUUAGGAAAUCUUUGGGGGUUGUGUGGGUUUUGGUUUUGGUUGUGUUGCCUUUUUUUGUUUCUCUUUUUAGUGGGGUCGGCCCGUGAGGUCGGGUGCCCCGGUUCACUUCUCUUUAAGAUUGAAUGGACUCUGAAUCCGCUUUUUGCCGGAAGCUCAGCAAGCUGUGGCUUUUUUCCAGCUCUGUGUGCUGUUUCUGCGUGUAGCGUGGUAGGACCCAUGCCGGGGCUGUGGCAGAGGUACCCCGGCCGCCCCGGGCCUGGCCUGUUCGGCCCUUCCGUGCUGUGUAUGACGCACAGCAAGAGUUGCAGAUGUCCCUUCGAGAGGUUCUUGAAAAUGUUUAUUUAUAUUGUCUUUUUUUACCGGAAGACGUAUGCAUAACCCAUUGAUGU